AUUGCUUCUCGGCCUUUUGGCUAACAUCAAGUGUAAUGUUUGUCCUUAUCAAUUUAAUAUCUGAUAUGUCCUGUAUCCAAGGAACAAUAUAUUAAGUGGACUUUUGGAAGUAGGAGGUAGAAUAACAACUUCCUCUGUCCACUCCACACAUCAUCUUGGUAUUGCAGUACUUCCAUAAAUGAUGCAUCCUCC
rnacentral:snRNA from 13 species